rnacentral:rRNA from 1 species
UACGUAGGGCGCAAGCGUUAUCCGGAAUUAUUGGGCGUAAAGAGCUCGUAGGCGGUUUGUCGCGUCUGCCGUGAAAGUCCGGGGCUCAACUCCGGAUCUGCGGUGGGUACGGGCAGACUAGAGUGAUGUAGGGGGAGACUGGAAUUCCUGGUGUAGUGGUGAAAUGCGCAGAUAUCAGGAGGAACACCGAUGGCGAAGGCAGGUCUCUGGGCAUUAACUGACGCUGAGGAGCGAAAGCAUGGGGAGCGAACAGG